GAACUGGAAAGUGAGGCAAACAGGGAGCGGAGCAAAUAGGUAGUGGGCAAAAGGGAGAUCGGUGUGUGGGGAUGCGAGGAGUGGGGAAUAAGGAAAUGGGAGUAUUGGGACGAGCCACAGCAGCAGAGUGGGAAGACCACAUAACCGUAUAGCUCAAAUGGAGAAUGGCAAGGCUGUGGAAUGGGAAAUGUGGGAGUAACCUCAACAUUUACC